CUAUUUAGUGUGGGCUAGUAACCACAAGCCAUCCCACCAUCAGAAUGGGAAGACAACAUAAGAGUAGCCUCUUCUGCUGAAAAGUGAUUUUCUUCUGGGGAUGCUGUUUGCUCUGCCCGUUGCACUGCUGAUGGCACCGUUCCUCCCUCUCCCUGUGAGCACAUCUUCCACGUGAGGGGUCUCUGACCUGGCAGAAGAUCUGAUGCUCCCCUAACACUGCCUCUGCAUAUCCUGCGGUCUGUGACGCUGUGUGAGGCAGCAGAGAUCCUGGCCUGCUUGUACCAAAACAUUCAAAAGGUUUGUCUGGGUUAUCUGAAGGUGUUAAUCCAAGAGGGACAGUCAGGGCAUACAAGAGGACCUGCAGACCCCAGGCUUUCCAAAGCAAAUGAAGAUUUGAGCCUAUCCCAACAUGUGAGUUUAAUACCAUGGAGGUAACAAUCCCGAAGGAUUCAUCUGACUGUUCCUUAGCAUCCCGUCAGCAAGCCCUAAUUAGAUGUUGAGCAGGAUCCUAGGAAGAGUGGAGACAAAAAAACCUUCCCUGUGCAGCAAGAAGGAGGCACCAGAUGAGACAAGCCAGCUCCUCCACUUUUGCCAAGCUGCUGCUUUGUGCGGCUCCUUUAGUCCAGGCUGCACUUGACAGCGAAGACAAGAGACAAAACCCAGCUGUUCUCUGCGAGACCAAAGCAAAAUGGCACACAGCGAGGCUGGAUGAGAGCAUCGGGAGCUGCAGGUGCGGAGGCUCUGCUACAACCAGCGUGAUUUCUGGUGGUACCAGCAGCAGGUUGCAUUUAUUUCUGUCCACAUCACAUGCAUUUCUCUGCCCCCAUGCCCAGCCUGGCCUGCGGGGAAGGGUAUUUCAUAAUUCCUGGCCGUGGUGUCACCUGGCUGUGAUGACACUGCGAGGCACAGAGCAGCAAGAGUGAAACCAGGGAGCGUCUCUGAAAGGCAGGAAGGGAGCAGGCUGCGCUAGGAGCUCUGUCAGCUGAUUUCUCCCACAGCAGCGUGGGCUUGGCUGCCAAAAAAGUGUCGCAACAGACGAGGAGAGGGAGAUGUGCAUCUCCCACUAGAGAUGGGAGCAGGGGGCUGUGGAAAAGAGCUGGGAAUGUGAAACAUCCUGCAAAAGGGAUUUUUUUUUGUUACGCCAAUGAAUUAGGUGCAGUUUUGUAUUGGCAGGUGCUUGACAGUAGCUAGCAUUAGAUCUAAAUUCUCUUAAAAAUUAGGUUCAAUAGGGUCAGGGCACACAUGCUAAGAAUUUCUAAAGCUUUAGGCUUUUCAGAUCAGAGAAUUUGCAUUGGGAUUCCCAGCUAAAAGCUGUCAUCUUCAUUAGAGGGAGUGCUGGGCACAUAGGAUACAAGUCAGGACAUGGGUUAGCCACAUCCUCGAGGCUCUCCUGGUUAUCAGGGAGUGGGGUGGGCUGACCUAACCAGUGCAGGCCAGAGCUGCAGUGUCAUUUAAGACAGGUAGUGGUAAAAAACCUCCUUCUGCUGGAAAUCAGAGGGGAGACUCAAGGUGGCCAGCGCAGGGAGGGCAGAGCAAGAUGGAAAAUUUGCAGCGUGCAGGGGUUUCUGAGUGAACAAGCAGGUAUGGGGACAGCAUCGAUAGGUGUGGUAUGGGCAAGCUGGAAGCGAGGAGAUAAAGGUAGUUUGACAUCUCUAAAUCCAAGUAGACAACAAUUUGAAUCCAUCCUAAACCUUAACUAAAAGCUGGAAAGUAGGGAGUGAAGGAUGAUGCAACCUUUCAGGUCCCCUGAAAGGGGGACGUAUGAGGGUCUCCAAGCAGUGGUGCACCCUCAAGGUGCGGGUUGAGCUUCCAUUACUACAUAAACAGUUAAACAUGCAGGCAGAGCAGAAACUGCAAGAGCAGGGUGAACCAGGGAGGCUCACACUUCUUGUGGCUGCGGAGAAGCACCAGGCUCCUUGGCAGCCCCUCCAGCUUCAAACCACUUGGCCCCAAUUCCCUCCUCCCUGCUGGUUCCCCAAAGAGGAGUGCCACCAAAACCACCGCCGGGAGGACCAGCUCCGUGGAGCCCGUUGCCUCACCUUGGAGGAAUGCAUUCACUUCAUAACCAAGAUAAACGGCCUGCUGUUUAACUGGAGCUUGUGCUGCAAACACCAAGCUCUUGCUUCGGGACGAGUGCUUGGCAUGCCUCCUGCUUCCCUGCUGCCUGCCGGGCGGGACUGGUGCCUCGCUCCUGCCGAAGCAGGGUCUGCUCUGCCGAGGGUGGAUUUAUUAUUGGUGACUGGCCUCUGCUGUUGGCUCGAUGAUUUCUGCUCUGAUCUCAGAGGAUAACUCUCUCCUAGCCUGGUCUCUGAGGGAACUCGCAUUCCUUUCUUAUCUCCCACCAGCAUGAGUUAUGCUCUCAGAAAUUAGUCCUUAUUUAUUAGCGUAGCCCAGCCAAAAGCCAUCUCCAGGAUUUUCAGUUGCAUGUGCAAACAAAAUCCACCUCCCUUUUCUUGCUCCCCUGGAGAGAUUCAUUAGGAAUAACCUCACCUUUCGGGGAAUCAGAUGUUCCUUCAAGGAUGUUGACUUCCACGGGGUUUGGAGGCAGUGUCCCAGGGAAACAUUGAGGUUAGUGCGUUCAGCUCAUCUGUUUUCACUUAAAGCAAGAGACCCUGGAGAGCUGCAAAAUAAACACAAGGGCCCUGAUUUCUCCUUUCAGCUGUAAACUGAGGUACCAAAGCGAGGAUCCUAGUCACUCUGCGCUUUUUUUUUUUUCUCCAGAUUCAAAACAAUCUGGAAAAAUGUACAACCCGGUGCUGCUCGUGGUGCUUCCUCAGCUGAGGAGAGGAGCCUGGAGCCCGAGCGCAGCCGCCCAGCGAAGCAUCUGCCUCGUCCCUGUGCGCAGGAGUGAGACAGACGUGAAGCCGUAAUAAAGCUGAUGGAAGACCCAGCUGGACAAGGACAACUUUGGCUUGGGUUGAAAGUCGGAGGAAGCCUCUGAGCUGCUGAUGCACAGAGAGCUGUUUUCCUCUCCAGACCUCCUGAAGUGCCUGCGCUGCAGGGCAGGGUCUGACCACGGACAGGUUCCCCGCGGUUCUGCUGGGCUUGGACAGUGCAAAACUCCCCCGUAUCUGCUGGAAGCCCUUUCCCCUUGCUUAAACCUCUGCUGCAUGUAAGCGCACAGGCCUUCGAGAUCAUGCUGAGCUUUCACAGAUGGGCUGGGAAGAGCCAGCACUGGGAAGUUAAAGGCAGUCAAAGUGGAGUUAGAGCAGGAAGAGUUGUCUCAACAGGGAGGGGGUUGUCAGCCUCAGGAACCGUGCCAGCGUGAUGCUGGGUAGUGGUGUUCUUCAGAAACAUCCCACCAGGUCUGCAUGCAAAAACUGUGCUGGUUUCCUUUGUAAAGGAUGCACUGAUGAUGUUUAGAUGAUGCAUAUAAUUGCCCUGAAAGCGCAGUCAGUCCAGCUGGCAGAGCGGUUGCAGAAGAUGUAAAACAUUUUUAAUAAAAACAAGACCCUCCUCGGAUUUGGACUCGAUCGCUGAGAUGGGAGGCCAGCGCCUUGCACGCUCAUUAACUUCUGCUGUUCGGGAGGUAUCACCAAAACCACACGUGGGCUGCUCAUCUCAGACACCCAGCCCUCAGGCUCCUCGCAGGGAUCCCGGUGCUUGUACCAGGACCAGGAGAAGGAUUUGCUGCCGGUGAAGGCUGUAGCAGCUCCCAGGCUAGAAAAAAGGAGCCAACACAGUGGGAUCAGAGAAGUUUAGCAGCAGCCCAACCACUGUCCUCAGUGCUCUAAAGACACACCAGGAGGACCCCCACUGAAAUAGGAAUUGAGAAAUUUCCCACCGUUGGUUUCAUCUUUAGAUUCAGAAGUUUGGAGUUUGCCACAGAAGGGAACAUUACCCAGAGGGAACAUUUCCUUCUGCCUUUACCCAUAAGGAAGGGUCGGGGAGAGGAUUAGGGGCACCCCAGAAGGUGCUGACCGUCCUGAAGCACACUGCCUCCAGAAUCCCGAGAAGCUGUUUUCAUGGGAUUGAAGCAUGCCUGCAAAAUGCUGCCUGGCCAAACUCUAUUCAGCUGGAAAAACACUGCCAAGCUCUUGCCUCGAGUUAUCUCCAUAGACCUCAUACCAAGUCGCGUUUAUUCACUCCCUUUUCCGAUGGCCUCCACUUCCCCAUCUCGAGGCAUUCACAAAUCACAAUUUGCUUCUCCAGCAUCAGCGCCGGGCUACAGGUCAGCAAGGACUUUCUUUUUAAUUCCAUUUUCAUUGCUCCCGUUUGUUUUGCAUUUUUAUCCACCCUUGGGCGUCUUUCAGCUUUUCACAGAGCCUGAGAAGCAGAAAGAUGUUUUUUUCUUUAGCACUUCAGAUGCUAAUAAAAUUAUUCAGCCCUGGCACAUGAAAUCAAGCCAGCGUUUGAUGUCUGUAGGCUCCCGGUGAAUUUAUCCGUGCUGCAGCAGGGCUGGAUGUGCAGGGUUGUAGGACAGCAGCACCACGGUGCUGAUACCCGAGGACCACGCAGCGUGUGAGCCCCCUACCCCUGUCUGGGCAGCGGAGGGACCCCACGGGACCUCUGUGCUCCAGUCCCUGUCUGCCGUGCUAUUUCUGUUCCUCCUGGUGCCCAGGGGGAGCAGCCCUAUCCUUUUCCAGCAUCCCCAGAGGACUUUGCCGAGGGAUGGGGAGGCAUUUCUCUGCUUGUCCGGGCUCAUCUGCAGCUCCCGUCUGACUUUCUCACGGGAAGAGCUGACCUGGCCCCUCCGAAUAAUCCCAAGCCUCCCAGUUGCCCCCUGCCUGCCUCUGUUUGUGCAUUUGCAGUCUCCUGACAUCUCUUCCCCCCCGGCAAAGGCUGGCCCUGGCUGAACCCCACAGCUCCGAGGUUGGGAGAGGGCACCGUGGUGCCCUGCUGGAGGCUGGGUGACCCCACAUCACGUCUGCCAGCCUGGGGACACCUCUACUUCUUCCCUCUCCCCCUUAAAAAACAUUUUCCUUGGAGGAAUCUGAAGGCAAACCAGACAAGCUGGUGCAUCUAUUCAGUGACAACCGGGGAGGAUCGCUUUCUGCUGAGCGUGGUGUGCUUUGACGGGUUUAUUCAGCUCUCAGUUGGGUAAAUCCAUGCCAAAAGAGCAGGGCCCAGCUGUGCUGCUGCUGGGUUUUAUCAGCACCAAAGGGGCACGUCCCCUCUGCAGGGCUAGCUUCCUUUUUGGGAUUUUCGCUGGGAAAAGCCAACGCUCACACCCACAAAUAGCACAGAGCAUCACUGCCCGUGUGGGCAGCGCAGCACCAGGAAAGGCAACAAGCAGAGACUGAGCUCCUCGU